rnacentral:tRNA from 1 species
GGGCUCGUAGAUCAGCUGGAAGAUCGCCACACUUGCAAUGUGGAGGUCUCGGGUUCAAAUCCCGACGAGUCCA